rnacentral:misc_RNA from 1 species
UCCGAGUUGACCCCGGCAGUCUCCCAUGAGUCCCCACCACCCCGAAGGACACCACAUCUCUGCGGCUUUAACGCCCAUGUCAAACCCAGGUAAGGUUCUUCGCGUUGCAUCGAAUUAAUCCGCAUGCUCCGCCGCUUGUGCGGGCCCCCGUCAAUUCCUUUGAGUUUUAGCCUUGCGGCCGUACUCCCCAGGCGGGGCGCUUAAUGCGUUAGCUGCGGCACAGAGAACCGGAGAGGCCCCCCACACCUAGCGCCCAACGUUUACAGCGUGGACUAC